rnacentral:rRNA from 1 species
AACGAACGCUGGCGGCAGGCUUAACACAUGCAAGUCGAGCGCCCCGCAAGGGGAGCGGCAGACGGGUGAGUAACGCGUGGGAACGUACCCUUUGCUACGGAACAGCUCCGGGAAACUGGAAUUAAUACCGUAUGUGCCCUUCGGGGGAAAGAUUUAUCGGCAAAGGAUCGGCCCGCGUUGGAUUAGCUAGUUGGUGGGGUAAAGGCCUACCAAGGCGACGAUCCAUAGCUGGUCUGAGAGGAUGAUCAGCCACAUUGGGACUGAGACACGGCCCAAACUCCUACGGGAGGCAGCAGUGGGGAAUAUUGGACAAUGGGCGCAAGCCUGAUCCAGCCAUGCCGCGUGAGUGAUGAAGGCCUUAGGGUUGUAAAGCUCUUUCACCGGAGAAGAUAAUGACGGUAUCCGGAGAAGAAGCCCCGGCUAACUUCGUGCCAGCAGCCGCCGCGGUAA